rnacentral:rRNA from 1 species
GUCGAGCGAAGCACUUUGUUUUGAAUCUUCGGAGGAAGAACGAAGUGACUGAGCGGCGGACGGGUGAGUAACGCGUGGGCAACCUGCCUCAUACAGGGGGAUAACAGUUAGAAAUGACUGCUAAUACCGCAUAAGACCACGGUACUGCAUGGUACAGUGGUAAAAACUCCGGUGGUAUGAGAUGGGCCCGCGUCUGAUUAGCUGGUUGGUGAGGUAACGGCUCACCAAGGCAACGAUCAGUAGCCGACCUGAGAGGGUGACCGGCCACAUUGGGACUGAGACACGGCCCAAACUCCUACGGGAGGCAGCAGUGGGGAAUAUUGCACAAUGGGGGAAACCCUGAUGCAGCGACGCCGCGUGAGCGAUGAAGUAUUUCGGUAUGUAAAGCUCUAUCAGCAGGGAAGAAAAUGACGGUACCUGACUAAGAAGCCCCGGCUAACUACGUGCCAGCAGCCGCGGUAAUACGUAGGGGGCAAGCGUUAUCCGGAUUUACUGGGUGUAAAGGGAGCGUAGACGGCGAUGCAAGCCAGAUGUGAAAGCCCGGGGCUCAACCCCGGGACUGCAUUUGGAACUGUAUAGCUAGAGUGUCGGAGAGGCAGGCGGAAUUCCUAGUGUAGCGGUGAAAUGCGUAGAUAUUAGGAGGAACACCAGUGGCGAAGGCGGCCUGCUGGACGAUGACUGACGUUGAGGCUCGAAAGCGUGGGGAGCAAACAGGAUUAGAUACCCUGGUAGUCCACGCCGUAAACGAUGACUACUAGGUGUCGGGCAGCAAAGCUGUU